GACGUAGGGCGCGAGCGUUGUCCGGAUUUAUUGGGCGUAAAGAGCUCGUAGGCGGCUUGUCGUGUCGACUGUGAAAACCCGCGGCUCAACUGCGGGCCUGCAGCCGAUACGGGCAGGCUAGAGUUCGGUAGGGGAGACUGGAAUUCCUGGUGUAGCGGUGAAAUGCGCAGAUAUCAGGAGGAACACCGGUGGCGAAGGCGGGUCUCUCGAACGCAACUGACGCUGAGACGCGAAAGCGUGGGGAGCAAACAGG
rnacentral:rRNA from 1 species